UGCCAGCCGCCGCGGUAAUACGGGGGGUCCAAGCGUUAUCCGGAUUUAUUGGGUUUAAGGGGUCCGUAGGCGGGAAAAUAAGUCAGUGGUGAAAGCCUGCAGCUCAACUGCAGAACUGCCAUUGAAACUGUUUUUCUUGAAUAUAGAUGAAGUGGGCGGAAUAUAUCAUGUAGCGGUGAAAUGCAUAGAUAUGAUAUAGAACACCGAUUGCGAAGGCAGCUCACUAAACUAUUAUUGACGCUGAAGCACGAAGGCGUGGGUAGCGAACAGGAUUAGAUA
rnacentral:rRNA from 1 species